rnacentral:rRNA from 1 species
UACAGAGGUGGCAAGCGUUGUUCGGAAUUACUGGGCGUAAAGGGCGCGUAGGCGGUCCGAUAAGUCGGCUGUGAAAGUCAGGGGCUCAACCCUUGGAAGCCGGCCGAUACUGUCGGACUAGAGUCCGGAAGAGGCGAGUGGAAUUCCCGGUGUAGCGGUGAAAUGCGCAGAUAUCGGGAGGAACACCAAUGGCGAAGGCAGCUCGCUGGGACGGUACUGACGCUGAGGCGCGAAAGCGUGGGGAGCAAACAGG